rnacentral:tRNA from 1 species
GCCCCGCUAGCUCAAUUGGUAGAGCAGCGGACUCUUAAUCCGUGGGUUCGGGGUUCGAGUCCCUGGCGGGGCACCA